rnacentral:rRNA from 1 species
GACGAACGCUGGCGGCGUGCUUAACACAUGCAAGUCGAGCGGUAAGGCCCUUUCGGGGGUACACGAGCGGCGAACGGGUGAGUAACACGUGGGUGACCUGCCCUCAGCUCUGGGAUAAGCCUGGGAAACCGGGUCUAAUACUGGAUAUGACUCCAUGACGCAUGCUGUAGGGGUGGAAAGCCUUGUGCGGCUGAGGACUGGGCCCGCGGCCUAUCAGCUUGUUGGUGGGGGAUGGCCUACCAAGGCGACGACGGGUAGCCGGCCUGAGAGGGCGACCGGCCACACUGGGACUGAGACACGGCCCAGACUCCUACGGGAGGCAGCAAGUGGGGAAUCUUGCGCAAUGGGCGAAAGCCUGACGCAGCGACGCCGCGUGA